GCAUUAAAUAGUAGCUACAAAAUAGCACUUUUUCGACACGCCAGAGUAAAUGGUCGGACUGUAAAUCCGCUGGCUUACGCCUUCAGUGGUUCGAAUCCACUCCUGCCCA
rnacentral:tRNA from 1 species